GUCGAUGGCGAGUGGGCAAUGGAGCGAGAAUAAAGGUAUGGCAUGAUCCUUGGUUUAAUGAUUCUGAUAAUUUUUAUGUUGACUCUUUUAUUGUGCCAGGAUGUGAGGACUUGUUAGUUAAAGAUCUUAUGGAUAUUGAAGGUAGGAAUUGGAACUUUGAAUUAUUACAUGGUCUCUUUCAACAAAGAGACGUGGCAGCUAUAAGCUCCAUUCCUAUUAGCUGUUUUGGGAGGGAGGAUAUAUGGAUUUGGCAUUAUGCGAAGAAGGGCUUGUAUAUUGUCAAAUCAGCUUACCAUGUUGC
rnacentral:misc_RNA from 1 species